rnacentral:rRNA from 1 species
GCGGCAGGCCUAACACAUGCAAGUCGAACGCGAAAGGGACUUCGGUCCUUAGUAGAGUGGCGCAAGGGUGAGUAACGCGUGGGAACGUACCCUGGAGUGGGGAAUAACCAUUGGAAACGAUGGUUAAUACCGCAUAAUGUCUUCGGACCAAAGAUUUAUCGCUCUUGGAUCGGCCCGCGUUAGAUUAGUUUGUUGGUGGGGUAAUGGCCUACCAAGACUACGAUCUAUAGCUGGUUUGAGAGGACGACCAGCCACACUGGGACUGAGACACGGCCCAGACUCCGACGGGAGGCAGCAGUGGGGAAUAUUGGACAAUGGGCGCAAGCCUGAUCCAGCCAUGCCGCGUGAGUGAUGAAGGCCUUAGGGUUGUAAAGCUCUUUCAACGGUGAAGAUGAUGACGGUAACCGUAGAAGAAGCCCCGGCUAACUUCGUGCCAGCAGCCGCGGUAA